rnacentral:rRNA from 1 species
CGAUACUUGGUGUGAAUUGCAGAAUUCAGUGAAUCAUCGAAUCUUUGAACGCACCUUGCGCCCUUUGGUAUUCCUGAGGGGCAUGCCUGUUUGAGUGUCAUUAAAUACCAUCAACCCUCUUUUGACUUCGGUCUCGAGAGUGGCUUGGAAGUGGAGGUCUGCUGGAGCCUAACGGAGCCAGCUCCUCUUAAAUGUAUUAGCGGAUUUCCCUUGCGGGAUCGCGUCUCCGAUGUGAUAAUUUCUACGUCGUUGACCAUCUCGGGGCUGACCUAGUCAGUUUCAAUAGGAGUCUGCUUCCAACCGUCUCUUGACCGAGACUAGCGACUUGUGCGCUAACUUUUGACUUGACCUCAAAUCAGGUAGGACUACCCGCUGAACUUAAGCAUAUCAAUAAGCGGAGGAA